rnacentral:rRNA from 1 species
UACGAAGGGUGCUAGCGUUGUUCGGAAUCACUGGGCGUAAAGCGCACGUAGGCGGUCCGCACCAGUCAGGCGUGAAAGCCCCGGGCUCAACCCGGGAACUGCGCUUGAUACUAGCGGGCUAGAGUCCGGGAGAGGAUAGUGGAAUUCCCAGUGUAGAGGUGAAAUUCGUAGAUAUUGGGAAGAACACCAGUGGCGAAGGCGGCUAUCUGGACCGGUACUGACGCUGAGGUGCGAAAGCGUGGGGAGCAAACAGG